rnacentral:rRNA from 1 species
CGCCUCUAGCGUAAUAUUAGAGGUCCAUUCUGCCCUAUGCCUAAAUAGGUAAAUGGCCGCGGUAACCUGACCGUGCUAAGGUAGCAUAAUCAUUUGCCAUUUAAUUGGUGGCUAGAAUAAAUGAAUACACGAAAGUUAAGCUGUCUCAUUUUUAUACAUAAAAAUUGACCCCCUGGUGAAGAGACCAGUAUUAAACAAAAAGACGAAAAGACCCUAUAGAGCUUUAUCCUAUAUAUAAUUAUCUUAAAAAGGAUUUAGUUGGGGCAACUAGAGAGAAUCUAAAUCCUCUCUUACAAAAACUUAUACUGAUCCGUUAAUCGACCAGAAGAGAAAGCUACCUUAGGGAUAACAGGCCAAUCCUUUUUGAGAGACCAUAUUGACAAAAGGGAUUAGCACCUCGAUGUUGGCUCAAGGUUACAGCUUGAUGCAGCAGUCAAGCAAAGCGGGUUUGUUCACCCUUUAACCCUU